ACUAUAGUGAAAGUUCCUUUUAAAAAAGAAAAUAUUGCAUGUAAUUUUGUUGAAAGUUGAUCAUUAUAUGCGAAUUGUUUUAUUUUAUUAGGAUAGAUAGUUAAUUCAUUGAAAAUUCAACGAAAUUUUGCUGAUUAAUGCCUUCACUAGAAAAGAAUCUUUUAACGUAUGAUUUAACUGUUAUCCUAGUGAGUAAUAAUUUCAUAUUAGCUAUAUAGUUUUAGACACAUUAAUUGUUAAGCUAUGCCUUCAUUAACGUUUGUCUGUGCAUUGGUUUUCUCAGCAAAUUUUUCUUUGUUCAUCGAAUGAUAAGUUGUGACAACCUGACAUGAGUAGCCCAUGAGAAGAAGUUAAUUAUUUUAAAGAGGAAAAAAAACAUGCAUAUGAGUUGCUUAUUUAAAAGUGCCAAACCAAGUCUGUGCCAGCUUUAAGAUUCGAAUUACAAGUUGAGAACUAAAACUAAUUAUAAUUUACAAUAUAAUCAUUCUCAGCAAACAAAAUACCCAAAAACCAUGGUAAGGAAAAUGAGGAGAAAAUAAAAAAACUCAAAUACUUAUUUGGCGUCUUGGAGGCAGUAUUGAAAGUACGUUGCACUUUUAUAGCUCUGUUACUUUUACUCUCUAAUUAGUACAAGUGGCUGAAGCUGUUACUAGUAUUGACGACAUUGUGUUUUUCUUCAUAUAGCUCAGCCCAGAAAGUAACUAGAGAAACAGAAUGGCCCAAGUUCUUUCUGAAAGCCUUACUAAAGAUUUGACAGAAUGGAGGAUCGAAGCAAUGGUUCUCCUUAGUCUCCUCAUUCAAACCAUAUUGAUCGUAGCCGGAAGCAGGAGAAAGUACUGGACUAGCAGCUCACUCGGAUUCUUUCUAUGGAUGGCCUAUCUAUCAGCAGACUGGGUUGCAACACUCUCCCUCGGCUUAGUUUCCAAUACCACAAGAACUGAUGCAAGUGCAGCAGAGGAUCCUAGCCCGGGCUACCUUAUAAAAGCCUUUUGGUCUUCUCUUCUACUUCUUCAUCUUGGUGGCCCUGACACCAUUACAGCUUAUUCCUUGGAAGAUACUGAAUUAUGGUUGCGAAACUUUGUUGUUCUCUCCGGACAAUUGAUAGUCUCUCUCUUCAUCUUCCUCAACGCCUGGUCUGCAGAUUGGCUUAACUAUCUCUCCCUUCCAAUACUUGUGGCUGCAAUGAUCAAGCUUGGACAGAGGGUUUUGGUUAUGAUGCGUGCCAGUAGCGAACAUUUUAGAAAAUCAUUGUUUCCUGAUCCUGAUCCGGGUCCAGACUAUGCCAGAUACAUGGAUGAGUUUAGUUUGAAGAGAGAAGAGGGAUUCAAGGUGUCUUCAAGAAGAAUAAUUGACAUGCCUAAAGUAGGUCAUCAUCUUAAUUCUGCUUCAGCAAACGUCACAAUUCCCAAUGCACAAACAUUGUUAGACGCAUACACUUUCUUUAAUAUGUUCAAGCCACUUUUCGCUGACCUGAUCUUAAACAUCCACAACAUUUUCAAUAGCCAAUCUUUCUUUCAAAACAGAUCAUGUGAUGAAGUGUUCAGGGUGAUUGAGAUUGAGCUUGGAUUUAUCUACGAUGUGUUCUACACGAAAAUGGUUACGUUCUACUCUAAACUAGGUGUCUUUCUCCAUUUCUUGAGUUUGUCAUGUGUUAUUUCUGUGUUUGUGGCCUUCGUCGUGGCUAAGAAGGAAGCUCACUCCACCAUUCAUGUCAUCAUCACCUACAUACUGCUCACUGGUUCUACCAUUCUUCAGAUAUAUACCUUUCUUGUUCUACUCUGUUCUGACUGGACAAUGCUAUGGCUAAGCAAGCGUAAGAAAUCUAUAGCUGAUUUCUUUUACCAGCCCAUUUCCUAUAUUCCAAAGUUUCUGACACCCAGAAACAAAAGAUGGUCCAAUAGCAUUGGGCAAUACAACCUAAUAGGAUUUUGCUUUGCUCAUAGGCCUGGGAAAUGCGCUAAAUAUCUGAAGGACUGGAUAAGCUUUUAUGAUAAGCUGGUGUAUGGGUACUAUUUCAAGAGGUGUAACAUUCCCAAGGAAUUGAAAGAGGAGAUCUUUAAGCAACUUCAGAAGAAAUCUAGAGGUACUUCAGAGCUUAGUGAUUGUAAGGAAUUAUGUGAUCAUAGAGGUGAAACUGCUCUUAAGAAUGAGGAAUGUGAUGGCACACUUGACUGGAGUGUUAAGAGAGAAUUUGAUGAAAGCAUUCUUAUCUGGCAUAUUGCAACAAAUUUGUGUUAUAAUACUGAUGUGGAUGAAGGCUUGAACGAUUCUCAACCGAACCAAGGCUUGAACACAGUUCGGCCUGUAAAUUUUAAAGAGAUCAGUAAGCUCAUAUCAGAAUAUAUGUUGUAUAUUUUGGUCAUGCGGCCAUUCAUGCUGCCUAAUGGGAUUGGACAAAUCCGGUUUCAAGACACAUGCGCCGAGGCGGUCAAGUUUUUGGAAGAGAGAAAAUCCAUAGCAAUAAAUGAGGAGACAGCUUGUGAAGCACUGCUCAAAGUGAGCACCAAAAUUUCUCCAUCAGAAGUGAAAGGAGACAGAUGCAAGUCGGUGUUAUUCGAGGCUUGCCGCCUUGUGAAAAGCCUACAAACCCUUGAAACAGACCGAAAGUGGGAAAAGGAAAAGAAGUGGGAAUUGAUAUGCAAUGUUUGGGUGGAGAUACUGUCAUAUGCAGCUAGUCAAUGCCAGAAAAACCAGCAUGUUCAGCAGCUAAGGCGAGGCGGCGAGCUACUCACUCAUGUCUGGCUUCUUAUGGCUCAUCUUGGCAUAACCAAACAGUUUCAAGUUACACGUGGCCAUGCAAGGACUAGGCUGGUUGUGCAGUGAUGAACUAGACUAGUCAUGUUUGCAUAAUAUAUUAAAUAUAAACAUAUGUUUUGCUUAUAAUCUGGUGUCUUAAUUUUAGCCUUUUUCUUGACACUAAUGUACUUUAUAAUGUUUUAGUAUAAAUACAUGGAACCUUAAUUUACUUAAGUUACAACUUACAAGCAUUCACAAUAUAGAGCACAUGGCCUGAUGGACCAGAAAUGUAACAAAAUGUUGUUAAAAGAAAUAGGUUUAUGUGGAUUUCAAGUGACUUGACCUGUUAUUGUAGCCUACGUUUAAAUGUAAGUUUAUUUAUUUAUUUUUCUGUAUUGACUUUUUUUUUUUCUCAUGAUAUCACUAUUAUAAUUUUUUACCUCUGCCAGUUUCUACACAGCCAAAGAUAUUGGGAUUUAAUGACUAAAAAGAAAAUACAAAUAAUAAUCUGUCACUAAGAAAAUCAAGUUGUUUCACCAUGACAAGUUCUGUUUCAAUAAAAACUCAUCUUAACACCCUUUUCAUGAUCAUCUGCAAUUUGAAAAUGUUUGGUGAUACCAAGAUGCGCCAUAAGAAGCCAUACAUGAGUGAGCAGCUCUCCACCUCGUCUUAGCUGUUGAGCAUGAUGAUUCCCUUGGCAUUGAUUAGCUGCAUAACAUAAUAUUUCCACCCAAACAUUGUUUAUCAGACUCCACUUCUUCUCAGUACUCUCCCAUUUCUGCAGCUCUUUCGCAAGCCUACAGGCCUCAAACAACACCGUGUUGCUUCUACCUCUUUUCACUUUGGAAGGAGAAAUUUCAGUGCUAACUCUUAACAAUCCUCCUCGAGCCCUACCUUCAUUAGCUAUGGAUCUUCUUUCUUUAAAGAAUUCAGUGGCCUCAGCACAUGUGUCUUGGAACCUGAUUUGCCCAAUUCCAUUAGGCAGCAUAAAAGGUCUCAAGUCUAGAAUAUACAACAUAUAUUCUGACAUCAACUUGCUCAGCUCCCCUAAAGGACACUUCCCACGAGAAUCACCAUUUAAGCUCUCACUAUCUUCAUCAUAACAAAGAUCUGUUGCAAUAUGCCAAAGAAGGAUACUCUUGUCAAAUUCUCCUUUAACGCUCCAUCCAAAUAUGUUGUCACAUUUCUCAUUCUUGAGAACCCAUUCACCCCUUUGAUCACAUAAUUCUUUGCAGUCAGCACUGUCUCUCUUUGAUUUAGUCAGAAGCUGCUCAAAGAUGAGUUCUUUCAACUUAUUAUUUUUUGCAAUACUAGGUCUAUCAUACCAGUACUUGAACAUCAACUUGUCAUAAUAGCUGGAAAACCAAUACUUAUCAGCUGACUUUUUGAGGCAAAAACUUAUAAGGUUGUGCUGUCCAACUUUAUUAGACCACCUCUUGCUCUGUUUUGUAGAUGAUGAAAUGAAAGAAAUUGCUUGGUAUAAAUAAGUCACAACAGCACCGCUGCUGAGCUUGCUCAGCCAAAGCAUUGUCCAAUCAGAGCAGAGUUUUAAAACAACAGCAUAUAUCUCAAGAACAAUUGCUCCAAUCAGCAAUAUAUAGGUGAUGACUAUAUCUACUGUAUAGUAAUGUCGUUUGUCAAUGUACAAGAAAAACACUGACACAGAAACCACACAACCACAUGUGACUAAACAUGUAAAACAACCAAGACCAGAGUUAAAUUUAAGAGCUUUGGUGUAGAACAAGUCGUACAUGAACCCCAGCUCGAUCUCUAUCACUCUAAAAACUUCAUCACAAGAUGUUUCUUGGAAGAAAGAUUGACUGUGUACUAUGUCAUGGAUGCUGAGGAUAAGGUCUGCAAAAAGGGGUUUGAACAUGGUGAAGAAUUUAUGCGCGUGUUGAAGGUUAUGCGCAUUUGGGACUAUGCUGUUUGGGCGGAUGACAGUGCGGAGAUGAUGAUGAUGAGUGUGACCAAUCGUGGGAACUUCAAAUGUUGUCUCGAUAGAGACCUUAAAGCCCUCAUCUUUCUUAGACAAAUAUUCAUCCAUGUGCCUUGCGUAACUUGGCCCUGCUUCAGCAGAAGGGAACAUGGAUUUUCUAAAGCAUUCACUACUUGCACACCUCAGAGCCCAAAUACGCUCACCAAACUUGAUUAGCCCAGCUAUAAGAAUCGGAAUAGAAAGUAAGUUGAGAAUAUUAUUGGACCAAGCAUUCAGGAAUAUGUAGAGAACAGCUACUAGCUGUCCCCCAAGCGUAACAAAGUUUCUCCACCAUAGCUCAUUGUCUUCUAAGGAAUAAGCCGUAAUGGUGUCCGGGCCACCCAAGUGAAGAAGAAGAAAAGGAGCCCAAAAUGAUGUUACAGUGUAAAUUUGCCUCGUGGAAGAGUCAUCCUCUGAUUCGUUCCCUUGUAAAUUUGAUAGUACACCAAUAGAUAGCGUUGCUACCCAGUCGGCUAACAAAUAUGACAACCAUAGAAUGAAUCUAAGCCAUAUUUUUGUUGUAUACUUCCUCUUGUUUCCCAUAAGUACCAGAAUGAUUUGUAAGACCAGACUAAAUAGAACCGACACACGAAUCUCGGACCGAUUCCAGAAUUUCCGGAAGCCUUUGGAAAUGAACUCAUGAGCCAUGAUUAUGUGUAUAAAUACAAGGCUAAGUUAUGUUGGUGCUGUUACCUCUUUAGUGUCUGCCAGAAUAUUACUUGAGAUCAACUUCUACUUUUCAAAAGGAGGAGAGUGUAGUUGUUGUGUUGUAGAGCUAGCUAGAAAUUAAUAU